ensembl:lncRNA
UUUUUCACUGUUGUGCUCAAAGGUAUUAUUCCUCGUUUCUCUCUCGUGGUGCCUAAAGAUUAGUGGUUUGGAUAAGAAAAGAAGAUAUUCCAUGAUCCAGCUCCAUGGCCAUGAUCAGUGAAAAGUCCACAGUUUGUCCUCCACCUCCAGUCCUUAGUCCUGGACCCUUAGGCACAAAACAUCAGCAACACAAACACAGAGGAGAGUUUACAGCAUCCAGCUCGAUGUCCAUGAACGGUGAAAUGUCCAGAGAAUUUCCUCCAGUCUUCAGUCAUGAACCUGGACCCUCAGUCACAAAACGUCAGGAACACAAACACAGAGGACAGUUUCCAGGUUCCAGCUCAAUAUCCACGAACAGUGACGCAUCCAAAGAAUUCCCCCCAGGCUUCAAUCAUGAGUCUCGACUCUCAGUCUCAAAAUGUCAGCAACACAAACACAGUGGACAGUUUCCAGGAUCCAGCUCGAUGUCCACGAACAGUGAUGCAUCCAAAGAAUUCCCUCCAGGCUUCAGUCAUGAAUCUCAACCUUCAGUCACAAAAUGUCAGCAACACAAACACAGUGGACAGUUUCCAGGAUCCAGCUCGAUGUCCACGAACAGUGAUGCAUCCAAAGAAUUCCCUCCAGGCUUCAAUCAUGAAUCUCGACCUUCAGCCACAAGGUUUUGUUUGAGUUUAUAAAUGGUAAAUGGCCUGUAUUUGUAUAGCGCUUUACUAGUCCCUAAGGACCCCAAAGCACUUUACACUAUAUUCAGUCAUCCACCCAUUCACACACGUGAUGGCAAGCUAAAUUGUAGCCACAGCCGACCUGGGGCACACUGACAAAGGCAAGGCUGCCGGACACUGCCGCCACCGGGCCAGAGGUGUCUUGCCCAAGGACACAACGACCGAGACUGUCCAAGCCGGGGCUCGAACCGGCAACCUUCCGAUUACAAGGCGAACUCCCAACUCUUGAGCCAUGAUCACCUGUAUAAAGCAAUCGAUAUAAAAUGUAACUGUCAUGGCAGAUGUAGGUCUAAGCAUCAUGAGGUUGUCACCUCAUUAAGCUAAUCCAGAGAAUGCCGAGUGUGUAAAGCAGUAAUCAAAGCAAAGGGGGCUAUUUGAAGAAUGUAAAAUAUUUUUUAAGUUAUUUCACACUUGUUUUGUUUACUACAUAUUUCCUGGAUUCCAAACACCUUCGAACACUUAUCUCCAAGGACAGCAGGUCUGCCCAGCGCAUGCUACAGGACCGGAUAUGUUGUCUACACUGGUUUACUCUCACCCCUUACCCACCCCUAUUGAUUGUCAUGUGCUUUAAUGGUGUAUUAAGAUUAAUGUUGUUUGUUGCUGAGGAGUUUUUUUUCCUGUCAUCAAACUGUUCUCCCAUCAGGAGCUCGGUCUGGGUGGAGCUCUUUUUCCCCUCCUCUUACCUCAUGUUAUGUGCUAUUGUUUUUCUUAUCAGCCUACCUCUCUGACCUGUCUCCCUAAUGUGAUGUUUGUGUAAAGUGUGUUUGGUCGGAGGGUUCCUUUGUGAGUGCGCAUCCGCCAACCAGCAUGCUGCCUGCUGUAACCUUCGUGAUUAAAAAAUGUAUUUCUGAUUCUGCUAAUAGGCUUCAUUUAAAUACUAGACCAAAAGCUCUUAACUCAUACAUUUAUAUAUAGGGCUUUGGAGUUGAUGUCACACCGCAAUGCAUUGUGGGACCGCGGCGCCAUUUUUGGGGUCUACGAAUAAAAAGAGACACUGUGUUGGAACGACGACGACAAGAAUCAUGCUUAAAAGCAGCUCCAAAGAAAACGGACGGUAUAGAGACCGAUUGCGUCCAGAGGCGAAGCAGCGGUACUUGAAAAAAAAUAGAGUGCAUCGCAAAUCUGGACCCAUAUGAAAUACGGCAGUGGAGUAAAGACCCAGACGACUUACCGCCACUGUCCUACCCCGAUAUCUUCACCUAUCUUGUUUGUGGAGUAAGCGCCUACACAGUUUCGUAAUUACAAGUCACUGGAGGCGCACAUACAAUUUACAAAUGGCUGGGUGCAAGAUUUGGCUAUUUUCAAGCCGCCAAACUGCGAGUACGUCGUGAUUCAUACCAAGGUAAGUCGGCUGGAGUGCAUUGUCCACCCCCUGCCAUAAUUAAUGUUAUACAUGUAUCAUUGAACUGCUAAAAUGUUGUUAUCCUAUUAUGUGCCCAUAAUUGUAAAGUAGAUGCAAGCAAACACAUAGGUAAUAAUUUGCCUGAUUAUCAAACGCCAAUUUGUGUCCUCCCUGUCUCAUUUCAUUUAUUGUCUU